GUGAGGUAGUGGAAAAUUCCAUCGUUCCAACCAUGGAGCUACAACGGUGGUCGCUUGGGACCUUCUAGUGCAUUGUCCUCCAUAGAGAAGUCUUAGACCUUUCUAGAGGGCUAUGUUUUGCACCCCCCCCCCAAGGUAGAUUUCCCACCCUCCUUAAAGGAAUAUCCUGGAGGUGGAUGGGUUUCCAAGGAGAAAUCGGUUAUGCCAUCUCGAUAUCCUUUAGUGGGGGCUGGUGAUUGUGAGAAGGAGCUUUUUCUCUCUAUGUGCAUCAUCGAGGACGGCAUCGAGCAGCAUUCAAUUCUUCAUCUGAGGAUAUCGGUUGAGCCUAAGCUUUUUCUUUCCUUUUUUUAUUGUAAAGAGGCUUGCUCAAGUAGGAUUGAUUUGUAAUAAUUUUCUUUGGAAUAAGUGUGAACUUUUUGAAUGAAGUGUUUCUUUGUCGAUAUUUCCUUCAUGUAUCUUUCAAAACUUUUUUCUCUUCAAGAUGGGGUCUUCGAAGGGCUAGCCCCUUUACUGUCAUCAUCAUCAGCUUCAAAUGGCCAUGUGGGGUCAUCAAAGGGUUGACCCUUUCAUCGUCAUUGUUGUCAGCCUCAAGUGGCCAUACAAGAUCUUCAGAGGAUCAGCCCCUUCAUUGUCAUCAUCAUCAGCCUUAAGCAUCCCCAUGAGAUCUCCAAAGGGUUAAACCCUUCAUCUUCAUCGUUAUUGGCCUCAAGCGACCGUGUGGCAUCCCUGGAGGGUUAGCCCUUCAUCUUUAUUAUUGUCCCCCUCAAGCAGCCAUGCGGAGUCUCCAGAGAGUUAGCCUCUUUAUCUUCAUCGUUGUCGGCCCUAAAUGGCUACUCGAGGUUCUCGAAGGGUUAGCCUCUUUGUUGCUCCUAGAUUGAUUUUGAUGAUUACAAAGCAGAUUGAAGGGGUACCAAUAUUUUUUAUUUGAAAAAGUCUUUGUGCUCUUCAGGGGCAAAAUUAUAAUUUUACCAAAACUCUAAUUUAAUAGUAUCAUUUGGUAGAACAAAAGAUUUGUGAUCUAUUGGCGAAAAUUUUAUUAUUUUUGGACUUGUAUUUUUGAAGUUAUGCAUGUUUGAAAUCCAUGAGUCGACUCAUGAGUCAGCUCAUGGCACAAUGAGCAGUUUGGCACGCUGAAUUUUUGGCUUGGCACGGCCUGUGAGUCGACUCAUGNNNNN
rnacentral:lncRNA from 1 species